CUUAUUUCUAUGCUUGGUGUUGCUGCUGCUGCUGCUCUCACAAAGUCACUUCCGACUCUUCGUGACUUCAUGGACCAGCCCGCGCCAGAGCCUAUACUGAGAGAUCUUUGUCGGGCCUGACUUGAAGGUGAUGGAGCCCAGACCUUCUCCAUCUGUCUGCAUCUGGUGCCAGUUCGUCCAGAAGAUUUUGGACUACUGCCCUUAGUCAC